rnacentral:rRNA from 1 species
GACGAACGCUGGCGGCGUGCUUAACACAUGCCAGUCGAACGGAAAGGCCCUGCUUUCUUGGGGUGCCCGAGUGGCGAACGGGUGAGUAACACGUGAGUAACCUGCCCUUGACUUUGGUAUAACUUCAGGAAACUGGGCCUACUCCCGUAUCGCAUCUCCCCUUCCAUUGUGGGGGUUGGAUAGUCUCGGCGGUUGGGGAUGGACUCGCGGGUUUAGAGCUUGUUGGUGGGGUAGUGGCAUACCAAGGCUUUGGAGGGUAGCCGGCUUGAGAGGGUGAACGGGCACAAGGGGACUGAGAGACGGACCAGAGUGCAACGGGAGGCAGCAGUGGGGAGUAUUACACAGUGGGAGGAAGCCUGAUAAAGCGGCGUCGCGUGCGGGAAGACGGCCUUUGGGGAGUAAACCGCUUUAGCCUGAGACGAAGCGGGAGUGACGGUAAUGGAUGAAGAAGCACCGGCUAACUACGUG